AUGUAGGUAUCUGCCCUUUGGCCUGGAAUAACACGAGGAAACUUGUGCUAAUACCGGAUAAGUCUUUACGGAGAAAGCUUUAUGCACCAUUGGAUGAGCCUGCACUUGAUUAGUUUGUUGGUGGGGUAAUGGCCUACCAAGACUGUGAUCAAUAGCUGAUUUGAGAGGAUGAUCAGCCACAUUGGGACUGAGACACGGCCCAAACUCCUACGGGAGGCAGCAGUGGGGAAUCUUGCACAAUGGAGGAAACUCUGAUGCAGCGAUGCCGCGUGAGUGAAGAAGGCCCUUGGGUUGUAAAGCUCUUUCGUCGGGGAAGAAAAUGACUGUA
rnacentral:rRNA from 1 species